CCCAGUCUGCACUCCGCUGCGUGGUCACCAAGGCACUUUACCUCUCCGAGCCAGUUUCCAUAUCAAAAUGGUGAUACCUCGCAGUUUGCGGAUAUUGAGAUGAUUAAAGGAGAUAAUGCGCACGUAAGGCUAUUAACUCAAUUUCUGGAAUGAAGCAGUGGAAGAGAGCAUGCUUUUAAAGUCAGAAGACCUGGGUUCAAGCCUUUGCCUGACACGUACUGACUGAGAACUUUUAGGUGACCUUGUCUACUUCUAUGGAUUUGACAGCCACCUGGAUGUUGGAGACUCUCAAGUCUAAGUAUGCAGC